GGCAUCUUGAUAGUGGUCUUCGUCUUGGAUGAUGAUCCUUUGAGGAGUAGGGGUUGUGGUGGUGCGGUGAGAACUGGUUGAGCAUGGUAAGAUUGGGCGGAGCUGCGUUGGCGUAAUGGCAUGGCUUCUAGCUGUCGCUCUGUGUUGGCCGGGACGAGAGCACGGGCAUCGGCGUCUUCCACAGGCUCCAUGUUGAGGUUGAAGGGGACGACUUCCCAAUCAUCGUGGUACUUCUCGGCC
rnacentral:lncRNA from 1 species